rnacentral:rRNA from 1 species
UAGAAUUUUAUUUUUUAGUCAAAAAGCUAAAAUUUAUUUAAAAGACGAGAAGACCCUAUAAAUCUUUAUAUUUAUAUUAUUAUAAUUUUUUAGAUUCUUUUUAUUAUGAUAAUAGAUUAUAUUUUAUUGGGGUGAUAUUAAAAUUUAAUAAACUUUUAAUUGUUUAAAUCAUUAAUUUAUGAAUAA